rnacentral:rRNA from 1 species
GAUGAACGCUAGCUACAGGCUUAACACAUGCAAGUCGAGGGGCAGCGGUAUCGAAAGCUUGCUUUCGGUAGCCGGCGUCCGGCGCACGGGUGAGUAACGCGUAUCGAACCUGCCUCAUACUCGGGAAUAGCCUUGCGAAAGUAAGAUUAAUGCCCGGUGUUUUCAGAGUCCCGCAUGAGGCUUUGAACAAAGAUUUAUCGGUAUGAGAUGGCGAUGCGUCCCAUUAGCUUGUUGGCGGGGUAACGGCCCACCAAGGCAUCGAUGGGUAGGGGUUCUGAGAGGAAGGUCCCCCACAUUGGAACUGAGACACGGUCCAAACUCCUACGGGAGGCAGCAGUGAGGAAUAUUGGUCAAUGGGCGGAAGCCUGAACCAGCCAAGUAGCGUGCAGGAAGACGGCCCUCCGGGUUGUAAACUGCUUUUAGUUGGGAAUAAAACGGGGCUCGUGAGCCCCCUUGCAUGUACCAUCAGAAAAAGGACCGGCUAAUUCCGUG